UCUAGGGUUUUCUGUCUUUUCAUCACUCUUGUUUCUUAUGAUGAAAGUUCACUAGAUCGAGCAUCUAGGCUUCGAUUCACGAUCGUAAUCUCUAUCCAACUCUCUCCAGCUUGGCUCAAAACUCUCGAUCAAUCUGAUUUAAACUCAGGGUUAGUCUAUUGAGGCUAAUCGCUGCUCAUAGACUAUAUGGAAACAAGUGAGCAAUGAUUGCUAGGCUCUUCCUUGGUAGAACUGACAAUGAAAUGAAGAACCAUUGGCAUGUAAUAAUGGCUAGAAAAUAUAGAGAACAGUCCAAUGCUUAUAGGAAGAGGAAGAUAGAUCAAUCUGUUCACACAAGAUUGGAGGGAGAAGAUCCAAGCUUUGUGUACAGAGUCACAAAACAACCAUCACAACCAUAUUGUGUCAAUUUUUGCAGCAGUAAUGUCUCUCUCUUCCUCACAAUGGGUUUUGGGCACUGCAGACACCUGAUUUCCACUCUGUGAAAUUUGCAAGCACAAAAAGAGUACUGAACACCUGAUUAGGAAGCUUCUAUUCAAGAGGCUUGUCCGUGAAAUUGCUCAUGACUUCAAGGUCAAAAGGAUAAUUUUGCUGAGGGAAAGAUCUAAUUCAAGAUGUAAGAGGAAGUUGUUGCUUUUUUUUCUUUUUUUUUUACAGGCCCAAAAUUAAAAUCUUGUUAGAAUUUUUUUAUUUUUUAUUUUUGGUAAGAGCAUUAAAAUAUCCAAAUAUCAGGGUGAA